AUGUUCUUGACACAGACAGAGGGCCCGCCCUCCAAGAAGAUCAAGGAGAAGACGUCUAAGGCCCCUGCAGAGGCCGGAGUCCAGGAAGCGGAAAGUGUUCCAAACAGCCCCGAGGCCCUAAGAUCUCAGAACAAACCAACAAGCCUUGGCGAGUCUGUCGAGAUUAACAAUCCAACCAAACAGACUAAGAUAUGCGAGGUGGAGAUCACCACUUCCAAAGUGGAGGACAUAAUCAGCAAGGGUGAAGCAGAUUCAGGAGUCAGACACGAAAGGAAGCCAUCUGUAGAUGAGGUCAAAUGUUCACUAUUCAAUAUUCCAGAGGCCACAUCUGUUCCUGAUAAAGGACAUGCUAUCAAACCUCCACCGAGCCAAACUCAGGAGGAAAAGCCCUCAACAACCAAAGUUCAAGAACCAAGAUCUUUUUUGAGCGAAGUCAAGUCUGCACAUGUUGAAGUUCAAGGGGCCAAGUCUAACGUUCAGAAUGUUAAGAAGGUCAGGUCUUCACCUGCUCAAGCUGAAAAGAAUGUAGACAUGACAUUGGCCUCUGCUGAAACUAAAAAAGUUCUUGAUCAAAUGAAAAGUAAGAUGAGGAACACUAACCUGAAGGAAAACUUGGAAGAAUUCAAAGCCUUAGGGACCAGUGACGUACAGAAGAUGUCCUCGCCAAUCCAUGGUGCAUCAUCUAAAGAAGAAAGCCUGUCACAUCCAACCCUCAAAACCCAAAGUCCAACCAGCAGCAAACUGGAUUUAAGCUCCCCUGUGGGGGAUAACCAAUCAGAAACCAGAAAGUUCUCAACUCCAGAGACCAGCCAGUUGGAUUCUAGCCCAUGGUCCACCCCAACCAGAAGCCCCUCCCCAGCCCAGUUGAAAGAAGGAGAAGAGGUGUCAGAAGAAGCAGCUGGACCGAGUAACUUUUCUGUCCUCGCCAGCUCAGUGGCACUCCUGGCAGAGGGCGACGCGACACCCUCCACCCCCCAAAAAUGUGCCGGUACCCCUCAACAUCUGAGGAAGGUGGAGAGAUUCACCAAGCAGAGCGCUGUCUCCCAGCGUUCCUCGACUUCCUCCUCGUCACUGGCAGAACCCACCGGAAAGGAGGCGGAGACAGAAGAGCAGGACCAAUCAGGAGGUGGCAGAGGACAGGGCUUGAGGAAAAACAGCUGGGACACUGACAGCGAGUCUGAAAGUCCUCCACAGCGGGAAAAUCAGACCCCAAACAAAGAAGAAGAACAAAUAGAAGAAGAUAGGAAUGGAGAAGAUGAUGGUGAGAGCAUCACUCAGUGGUCGGACACAACAGAAGCGAGAAAGAUGGAAGAGGAAGAUGAGAAUGAACCUGAAGAGAAGGCAGAGCAGCAUAAAACCGAGAAUAGUGGAGAGAAGGCAUCUAAAACAGAGGAAGAGGAGCAGCAAAGAGAACAGGAAGAAGAAAGAGAAGAGGUGGAUACAAGGAUGGUGGAGGGUGGAGAGGAGAAAGAAGGGAAAGAAAUGGAAAGUAGAUGGGAGGAAACUGAAGGACAGAGCAGUAGCCAUGUGAGUGGACAGCAGGAAGCCACUGGGGAAGAUGAAAAAGAAAGUGGAGGUGGAGUGAGUGUUGGACGGGGGCAGACUGGAGAAGAGGAAGACUCUGGAAAUGAUGAAGAGGAAGACAGCAAAGUCAGUCAGGAGGUAGAGAGUGAAGAAAAGAGUGGAGGAUCUGAGGAGGAAGAGAAAGAUAGUGGAGAAGAUGAAGAGGAAAUCAGUCAGGAGACGGAAGAGAACAGCAGUAAGUGUGAGGAGGAGGAAGAAAGGGGUGAAGAGGAGGCUGAAGGUGAAGACGAAAGUAAUCAUGUCUCAACUGAGAAGGAAGAAGAGGAAGGAGAAGAACAAGAAGAAGAGAAUGAAUAUAAUGGAGGAGAGCAUGAAGAAAAUCAGGAGACUGAAGGUGAGAGAGAAGAAAGUGACAAAGGUGCCGAAGAGGAAGAUGAAACUGAAAUUGGAGAGAUGCAAGAACAGGAGGACAAUGAUGGAGAACAAGACGAUCAAAGUGGAGGAGAGACCAGUGAAGAUGACCGUGGGGGUGGGAAUAAUAAAGAAGAUGUUGGUGAACCUGAGGACACAGCAGAGGAACAAGAAGAAGGUUCAGAAGAAGAAGAAGAGGACAGGAACGAUGAAAAAGGUGAGGAAGAGGAGGAAAAUGAAGGGACUGCUGGAGAGGAGGGGGAAGAACACGUGGAGCACGAUGAAGAAGAAUCCAAGGAUGAUGAGAAGGAGGAAGAAAAUGAAGAAGAAGAAGAAGAAGAAGCUGAAGAAAAACUAGAACAAAAAACAAAACUGAAAAAAGAAGAAAAACAAGAAGAGAAAAUGAAGAAAGAAAAAAUGAAGGGAAACAAGAAAAAAGCCUCAUCAGAUGAAAAGGAAGAUGAGAGGAAGAGGAACGAGUCUGAUGUGGAAGGUGACAGAUCAGAGCAGGAUGAGGAAGAAGCUGAUGAGCACAAUGGAGACGGAGAGGAGAGAGAGCAGGAUGAAGAAGAAGAGGAAGAGCAAAAUGGAGGAAUGGAGGGAAACAACAAGAAUGCUGACGUGGUCAGUAAAGAUGAAGAGGAAGGUGGAGAAGAAGGAAACGAGGCAUCAGAGACAGAUGAAGAGGAGGCAGAGGAAAGCGAGGAAGAGAAGAAGACACAGCAAAGCAAAAAAGGAAGGUUGUCAAACAACGGCAACAAGGAUGAAAGUGAUGAUAAUGAUGAUGAAAGUGAUAAUGAAAGUGAUGAUGAUGAUAAAAGUGACAAUGAAAGUGGUGAUGAUGAUGAUGAAAGUGAUAAUGAAAGUGAUGAUGAUGAUGAUGAUAAAAGUGACAAUGAAAGUGAUGAUGAUGAUGAUGAAAAUGACGAAGGUCAUAAUGGCAAAUUACAGAAAAAAAAUACAAAUAAAAUUGUGAAGAAAAAAGAUAUGGAUGAUGAUGAAGAAGAGGAGGAGGAAGAAGAAAUACAAGAAGACGAGGAAGAAGAAGAGGAGGAAGACGUGGGGGAAGAAGAGGAAGAAGAAGAGGAGGAAGAGGAGGAGGAAGAAGAGGAAGAAGAAGAGCAGGAUAAAGAGCAACCAAAGAAAGGCGGGUCUUCACCUAAGCCAAUGCCUUCAAGUGAGAAGGCAGGUGAGAAGAAAGGCGGGCAGACAGGGAGACAGACUGGGGGACAGACUGGGGGACCAACAGGCAGGCAGACAGGAGGGCAGGAAGGUGGACCAACAGGCGGGGAGACAGGAAGACAGACAGGGAGACAGACAGGCGGGCAGACAGGAGGGCAGAUAGGUGGACCAACAGGCGGGGAGACAGGAAGACAGACAGGGAGACAGACAGGUGGACGGACAGAAAAACAGACAGGAGGGCAGACGGGUGGACCAACAGGUGGGCAGACAGGAAGACAGACAGGGAGACAGACAGGAAGACAGAAAGGGAGACAGACAGGAGGGCAGACGGGUGGACCAACAGGUGGGCAGACAGGAAGACAGACAGGGAGACAGACAGGGAGACAGACAGGAAGACAGACAGGGAGACAGACAGGGAGACAGACAGGAAGACAGAAAGGGAGACAGACAGGAGGGCAGACGGGUGGACCAACAGGCGGGGAGACAGGAAGACAGACGGACUCACAGCAAGACACGUGGACAGGCGACAGGAAUGCUGCUCCUGACUCUCAGGGCUUCUGGAAUAACGUCUUGCCUCAGUACCUGGACCUCAGAUGA
rnacentral:lncRNA from 1 species